rnacentral:rRNA from 1 species
CCCUUAGAUGUUCUGGGCCGCACGCGUGCUACACUGAGUGGAUCAGCGGGUCAGGUUGCGCGAAAGCGUUUCCUAAUCUUUAAAUCCGCUCGUGAUGGGGAUUGACGGUUGCAAUUUUCUGUCAUGAACGAGGAAUACCUUGUAAGCGCGGGUCAUCAUCCCGCGCUGAAUACGUCCCCGCCCUUUGUACACACCGCCCGUCGCUCCUACCGAUUGAAUGUGUUGGUGAGGAGCUCGGAUUGGCAGCAGUUGGUGGUUCGCCACCGGCUAUUGCUGAGAAGUCCUCCAAACCGCCCCAUUUAGAGGAAGGAGAAGUCGUAACA